AACACCCACUGGUCUGCUUUCAUAACAUGAGAGGAGGAGCUGGGCGGAGAGUUACAGAGCAAACAGGAGGGCUGCACUAACCUGCAGCCCAGAGGACGAGUGGAGGAUGGAGGGCGGUGUUUAACAUCCAGUCCCGCCUACCGGACCAUUAACGACCGCCGCCACGUGUACCUCAUCUUCUGACUCACCCCUGAAACCCACCUCCAUGAAUGUGGAAGCACACAGGUAACUGGAAAAUGAAGACGACAUGAUGUGACCUACUGGGGAUAUAGCUGCAAAUUCACUGCUGGCUUCUGCAAUCUAAUUGGAGGUUGCAUACGUUUUGAUGGAGGUGGUGUUCUCACUCUACCUGCGACCAUCAGGGCGUCUGUGGAGGUUUGGGUGAAGGACACGAACCUUGACUCUCAAAGCUUGCUGCUCUUCCCGGCCACUGCAAGGCGCAGGCAGGGAGGGGUUGUGACUGCAUUGGGAACAUGUAAGGUACCUGGAGGAGGAGGUGGGCUCGGUGGUCUGCCUCUGGAUCUUAGCCUGCUGGCUGAGCUUCUCCCUCAGGGCUGUUUGCACCUCGGCGGGGAUGUCUGGAGACGUCUGGCUGAUCUUCAUGGCCGCCUCGAGGAGCUUGACAGUGCUCCGUCCAUUCACCUUCACUUCCAGCGGGUACUUCUUCUCCACCUCCGCCACUUUGCACUUAGUGACCGGUGGCGAGUUGGGUGGAGGCGCCUCAGGGAAACCAACAUUGAGGCCAUUUUCGGCAUGGGCUGACAGAGCCUUGCUCCUCCAAAAGGGCCAGCACAGCUUCCAAAAGACAAAGAGAGAGACUACCAACAGGGCGAGGCCACAGAAACCCACGACCACAGCAAGGAGACUAAUAGAGAUGUCUACAUGUAACCAUGGAAAGACCCAUAGAGGAAGACAGAGACACAUAAAAAGGAAAGGAGAAGCAAGCAAGGGACAAAAUAUGACAGACAAACAUGCAAGGGAGAAAGAGAAAAAAGGAGAGAAAGCCAGCUGUAAGAAAGAGGGGGCAGCAUAUGCACCUGUUAAAGCAGGACAAUAUAAAGUCAUGUAAAACCUCGGUCAAGGAGCCACAGCAUCAAGAGAAUGACAUGUUCAGUGACCAAAGUGAAAAACAUAUCCCAUCUGCUCCUGACAUUACCUGUUCUUAUUUAUAUGUAAAUGCUAAGUUUGCACUGUAUCAUAUGCAAGAAAGCUUAAUGCAGCCUAUACAUGCAGCUUUUCAAAAUCUGUUAAUCAGACUGACACUGAGUAAAUUACCGAGAUUGCAAAGUAAAAAACGGAAAGAAGACGGGAGAAAGCCAGGAAAUCAGACCUCAGUCUAUUUUCCACCUGUUGCUAUUUCAUCAGUCUGGAUGCGUAACAGGUAGAGAAGCACUUUUGCAACAGUUCAGCGCGAUAAAAUGCAUACAACUAAGUGGUUUAAUAGUUUUAACAAGUGAGAGCUGAUGUUUGGUUUCUGCUUUUUUUUUCUUCCAAACAGUGCAACAACGUAAUCUCUUCUUUAAAGGGAACACACGAAAGUGAUUAAUUGAGGGAAUGGCGGGAAAGAAAAUAAAGACUUUAUUGCAUUUACCUGCGUGUCCUUUACCUGGUAUGUUGCUCUCCAGGGGGAAAAUAUCCGAACAUUUCUCCCGGUCUACGUUUCCCGUGAGACAAAGUUCCGUGAUGAUUUCGAGAGCCCUUUGGCACAAGGUGAUGCUGUCCUCCGUCCGGACACUCAUGUCUCUCCUGUUAAGCCAUUGCACGCCGGGGGAGCCAGGAGGGCGGUGAUUCAUUUGGGCACCUUUUUUUAUGCGCCGCAGAGUGCAGCCCGUCCGCGGGAGACAGCAGGGAGGCACGCUGCGUCCUGAUCCAUAUCCAGCGCGCAACGAGGAGCCACUGACCAGACGCGCUCCCUGUGUUUGAGUAACAGGCGGUGGGGUGCUGGAGUCCAACCCUGGCAGCGU